GUCUGGGUCUGGGGCACUGUUACAGCUGAUGAAGGUCUGUAAUGUCUGGGUCUGGGGCACUGUUACAGCUGAUGAAGGUCUGUAAUGUCUGGGUCUGGGGCACUGUUACAGCUGAUGAAGGUCUGUAAUGUCUGGGUCUGGGGCACUGUUACAGCUGAUGAAGGUCUGUAAUGUCUGGGUCUGGGGCACUGUUACAGCUGAUGAAGGUCUGUAAUGUCUGGGUCUGGGGCACUGUUACAGCUGAUGAAGGUCUGUAAUGUCUGGGUCUAGGGCACUGUUACAGCUGAUGAAGGUCUGUAAUGUCUGGGUCUGGGGCACUGUUACAGCUGAUGAAGGUCUGUAAUGUCUGGGUCUAGGGCACUGUUACAGCUGAUGAAGGUCUGUAAUGUCUGGGUCUGGGGCACUGUUACAGCUGAUGAAGGUCUGUAAUGUCUGGGUCUGGGGCACUGUUACAGCUGAUGAAGGUCUGUAAUGUCUGGGUCUGGGGCACUGUUACAGCUGAUGAAGGUCUGUAAUGUCUGGGUCUGGGGCACUGUUACAGCUGAUGAAGGUCUGUAAUGUCUGGGUCUGGGGCACUGUUACAGCUGAUGAAGGUCUGUAAUGUCUGGGUCUGGGGCACUGUUACAGCUGAUGAAGGUCUGUAAUGUCUGGGUCUGGGGCACUGUUACAGCUGAUGAAGGUCUGUAAUGUCUGGGUCUGGGGCACUGUUACAGCUGAUGAAGGUCUGUAAUGUCUGGGUCUGGGGCACUGUUACAGCUGAUGAAGGUCUGUAAUGUCUGGGUCUGGGGCACUGUUACAGCUGAUGAAGGUCUGUAAUGUCUGGGUCUGGGGCACUGUUACAGCUGAUGAAGGUCUGUAAUGUCUGGGUCUGGGGCACUGUUACAGCUGAUGAAGGUAUGUAAUGUCUGGGUCUAGGGCACUGUUACAGCUGAUGAAGGUCUGUAAUGUCUGGGUCUGGGGCACUGUUACAGCUGAUGAAGGUCUGUAAUGUCUGGGUCUGGGGCACUGUUACAGCUGAUGAAGGUCUGUAAUGUCUGGGUCUGGGGCACUGUUACAGCUGAUGAAGGUAUGUAAUGUCUGGGUCUAGGGCACUGUUACAGCUGAUGAAGGUCUGUAAUGUCUGGGUCUAGGGCACUGUUACAGCUGAUGAAGGUCUGUAAUGUCUGGGUCUGGGGCACUGUUACAGCUGAUGAAGGUCUGUAAUGUCUGGGUCUAGGGCACUGUUACAGCUGAUGAAGGUAUGUAAUGUCUGGGUCUAGGGCACUGUUACAGCUGAUGAAGGUAUGUAAUGUCUGGGUCU